CGCUGGCGGCACGCCUAACACAUGCAAGUCGAACGCAGUAGCAAUACUGAGUGGCAAACGGGUGAGUAUAAUGUGGGAAUCUGCCUUUUGGUUUGGAAUAACACGGGGAAACUUGUGCUAAUACCAAAUAAGCCCUUACGGGGAAAGUUUUAAUGCCAAAAGAUGAGCCCGCACUUGAUUAGCUAGUUGGUAAGGUAAAAGCUUACCAAGGCAACGAUCAAUAGCUGUUCUUAGAGGAAGACCAGCCACAUUGGGACUGAGACACGGCCCAGACUCCUACGGGAGGCAGCAGUGGGGAAUCUUGCACAAUGGGGGAAACCCUGAUGCAGCGAUGCCGCGUGAGUGAAGAAGGCCCUUGGGUUGUAAAACUCUUUCGUCGGGGAAGAAAAUGACUGUACCCGAAUAAGAAGGUCCGGCUAACUUCGUGCCAGCAGCCGCGGUAAUACGAAGGGACCUAGCGUAGUUCGGAAUUACUGGGCUUAAAGAGCUCGUAGGUGGUUAAAAAAGUUGAUGGUGAAAUCCCAAGGCUCAACCUUGGAACUGCCAUCAAAACUUUUUAGCUAGAGUGUGAUAGAGGUAAGUGGAAUUUCUAGUGUAGAGGUGAAAUUCGUAGAUAUUAGAAAGAACACCAAAUGCGAAGGCAACUUACUGGGUCACUACUGACACUGAGGAGCGAAAGCAUGGGUAGCGAAGAGGAUUAGAUACCCUCGUAGUCCAUGCCGUAAACGAUGUGUGCUAGACGUUGGAAAUAUAUUUUUCAGUGUCGCAGCGAAAGCAUUAAGCACACCGCCUGGGGAGUACGACC
rnacentral:rRNA from 1 species